AAAAAAUGAAACACAUAAAUUUCACAACAUAGUAAUACAUACACCUAAUAUCCAAAAAAAGAAAAAAUGUUAAAGAUUACUCCUUUCUUCUUCUUCCUCUUCUUUUACUCAGUUUCAUCUAAUCAAAUCUCCACUUUAGAACACAAAGCUUUACUUGAUCUUAGAUCAUCUUUAAGCAUCAGUGCAAAAAACUGGCCAAGAAAAUCCAACCCUUGUACAAAUUGGACUGGAAUUCAUUGCAACAAUGACAAAGUUGUGUCUAUUAAGUUGACAGGACUAAGAAGAAUUCACAAAGGGAACAUGUCUCCUCAUUUUGCUGUUGAUUCUUUAGCCAAUUUUACUCACUUAACAUCAUUCAACUCAUCAGGUUUUGUUCUUUCAGGGCCAAUACCUUAUUGGUUUGGCCAAAAGUUAACUCAACUUAAACACCUUGAUCUUAGUUCAAGUUCAAUUCUUGGUUCACUUCCAUCCUCAUUAGGAAGUUUAACUAAUCUUGAUAA
rnacentral:misc_RNA from 1 species